AUGGGAUGGAAUGGGUAGGGGUGGAAAUGAGACUUCUGUGAAUGUACCUUAUUAUAUAGUUACUAUUUUGGAACGUUGUAAAUGUUUUGCGUAUUUAUAAAGUAGAGUUCAAUAAAAAGAA